AAAUGUUACCGGCAAGGCUACCCAGAUCCGAAUAAUUGCACCCGGUGUAAAUGUCCCGAUGGUUUUGGUGGUUUGUAUUGCGAAAAGAUUAUCAAAGAAGAUGACGAAUGCAGCAAGGAAGUUCUUAACAAAAGGUACGGACUAAUAAAAGUUUGGGACACUGGCAACAUCACUCUGCCAAAAGCGUGCAACUGGCUGAUACAAGCGCGCCCUUGUCAAACCAUAUUAUUCGAAUUAUUAGAACUUAAAAUUGGGGGCUACGCGAAGGAUAACAUCAGAUGUCUAAACUGGAUCGAAAUAAGAGGGGCGGAAGAUUUAUCUUUAAUAGGAGAAAGGUUCUG